ensembl:rRNA 5S_rRNA 5S ribosomal RNA
GUCUACAGCCAUACCACCCUGAACACGCCCGAUCUCGUCUGAUCUCGGACACUAAGCAGGGUUGGGCCUGGUUAGUUCUAGGAUGGGAGAAAUUAUUUUAUAGUAAUUC